CAAAGCUCCUUGCCAAUGCUAGUCACGGUUUAAGGAACUUUGAGUUAACCUCUUAUAUCGAAUGAAUCUUUUCAUUUGGAAACCAAUAAAUCUCAAUCUCUAGCCACCUUUUGUAGAACAGGCUGGGGCUUACCAAGGCAAGGCUGAAGCUUAUAAUAAAGAAGAGAUAAAGUUUGCCAAAGUUUUUUUUUUCCUCCCCUUCUUCUUCUUCCUCUUCUCUUGUAAAUAAAAGUUUUGGAGAUGGCAGCAUUUGGAAGCGAUCCGGAGAAGGACUUGGAUCUAUGCAUUGUUUCACAGUUAUGACAAGUUGCAGAGAGACAUGGAGAACUCAAUAAGRAGAAACAGCAAGUG
rnacentral:lncRNA from 1 species